GAUGAACGCUGGCGGCGUGCUUAACACAUGCAAGUCGAACGGAAAGGCUCCUGCUUGCAGGGGUACUCGAGUGGCGAACGGGUGAGUAACACGUGGGUGAUCUGCCCAGCACUUCGGGAUAAGCCUGGGAAACUGGGUCUAAUACCGGAUAGGACGAUGGUUUGGAUGCCAUUGUGGAAAGUUUUUUCGGUGUGGGAUGAGCUCGCGGCCCAUCAGCUUGUUGGUGGGGUAAUGGCCUACCAAGGCGUCGACGGGUAGCCGGCCUGAGAGGGUGUACGGCCACAUUGGGACUGAGAUACGGCCCAGACUCCUACGGGAGGCAGCAGUGGGGAAUAUUGCACAAUGGGCGCAAGCCUGAUGCAGCGACGCCGCGUGGGGGAUGACGGCCUUCGGGUUGUAAACUCCUUUCGCUAGGGACGAAGCGCAAGUGACGGUACCUGGAGAAGAAGCACCGGCUAACUACGUG
rnacentral:rRNA from 1 species